ensembl:snRNA U1 U1 spliceosomal RNA
AUUGAUACCUGGCAGAGGAGAUACCAUGAUCACAAAGGUGGUUUUCUCAGGGUGAGGCCAUGCAUUGCACUCUGGGUGUGUUGGCCCCUGUGAUUUCCCCAAAUACAGGAAACUCGACUGCAUAAUGUGUGGUAGUGGGAGACUGAGUUUGUGCUUUCCCCUA